GUUUUAAUAGUUUAAUAAAAA
rnacentral:tRNA from 3 species